CGUGAGGGAUGUCGCGGGUGAGUGGUGUCGAGGCCUGUUGGGUCAGGGCGGUUCGCAGGUGCUGUCAGAGCUGGGCGGGGCAGCCGGGUCGUAGAGGCGGGCGCCAGUCGCGGUCGGUGGAGAGGGAUGAGGAUGUAGGAGGGACGGACGUGGCGGAAGCCGCGGGGACUGCGGGGGCGGAGUGCCUCUGGGGAGCCAGGGAGGCCUUUCCAGAGGCUCCUGGGGGAAGAAGAGGCGAAGCGAGAGUCCCCGGGGAAGCCCUACUCCACCCCCAGCCGGAGCCUGGGUUGUGCCUGCACGGACCAGAGCCCACAGUGCGAGUUGCUGUAGGCAACCAGCUAGGGUGGCCAACUUCUCCCGGUUGGCCCGAGAUGUUCUGGUUUUGGGACCACAGCGUCCCAGGCCUCCAGCCCACCACAGUGACCAUAUUGUGCGCCCCCUGCCCAUCUUCUCCCGCAGCUUCCCUAGAUUAGGCUUGGGAGGCAAGGGGAGGCCUCCUGACUUUUCUCACUGCCUUCGUUAAUAUAAAGAUGAAGGCACACUCCACAACUUCCUUCUGGCCAGGCCCAGACAUGUCUGUCCUUGUGAGAUAAAAGCUUCCAUGGGAGCCUUCCUUCCUAAUCAAGGUAGGUAGACCACUGGAAGGUACAUCUGGUUUUAUAUUUUGUCCUGUAGAAGUCAGAUUUCAGCCCAGUUGUGUAGGAGUGAGGAUGAGCUUAUGCUCUUAUCAGAGCUUUGAGUACAGAGACAUUUGAUCUGGAAUUUCAGCCAGCCUCUUCAACCCCAGAAUUCAGAGGUUCAAUCAGAACAGACAUUAGCUUAAGUUUUCCCAUCAGUUGUCUAUCAUUAAACUGGCAAAAUCUAGAUAAUUAGAAAAUAUGACAGAGAUGAUCCAGACAGAGAUGUUCAGGUUUUUCCUUGUGUAAUUCAAAAAGUCUCGUGGUGGAACAUCUGACCCUUUUCAAGAGGAAGGAUGAAAACUCUACAUAGGAACACGAUGUGAAUGGAAGAAACCUGUCAUUAUGCAAAUAGUACGGUAUUCCGAACAGACACUAAAAAUAGCUGUCAUCUCAAAGAAUCCAGUGCUUGUGUCACAGUAUGAGAAAGUAGAUGCUGGGGAACAGCGUUUAAUGAAUGAAGCAUUCCAGCCAGCCAGUGAUCUCUUUGGACCUUGCAUUCUCCAUCAGAUUGGAUCACCUCCCACCCUGAGGCCCCCCAAGACUUUGAACAGUUCUUCAGUCAUCCUUACAGAAAGAUACCCUCUCCAGACAAACGCAGUAUUUAUAUACGGUCCAUUGGUAAAUACUGGUAAUGUGCUAGUUUUGGUUCGGUUUUGCAAUGGUUCUGUUGUCAGGAAUAGUCCGGGCUAUUGGUCUGAUUCAGAUGGGCCAUUUUAGGAUCAUUUUUGAUAUUCAUUGCAAUGGUACAAGUUUUGUAGCCAAACAGACCUAGAACAUUUUUUUUUAAUUCAUAUCAACACCGAUGAAUGUUAAAGGUGUAUUGAAAAUUUAGAGUUGGUUUUGUUUCUAAUUUGAAUCCUCUUACUCAUAGACUGGGUAAACACUGAAUAAUCGUCUUAAAGUCUGUUUUUAAAUGUUCUUCCAUAUUAUAGGAUCUCUAUGAAGCACCAGAAUUAUCAGUGAAGAAUAUAUUAAAUGGCUCACGGGCUACUGUAAAGCAUAUUUCUAUCGCUUGAGAGUAAAACUGCUAGAACCAGUUCCUGUUUCUACAACAAGGUGUUCCUUUAGAGUCAAUGAGAACACACAAAACCUACAAAUUCAUGCAGGGGACAUCCUGAAGUUCUUGAAAAAGAAGAAACCUGAAGAUGCCUUCUGUGUUGUGGGAAUAACAAUGAUUGAUCUUUACCCAAGAGACUUGUGGAAUUUUGUCUUUGGACAGGCCUCUUUGACAGAUGGCACUGGUGAGGUGGAUUGAUGAUGAAUCUUCUGGCACACCUGGAGCAACUCCAGAACACAGUCGUGAGGAUAAUGGGAAUUUACUGAAACCCGUGGAAGGAAGCCUUUAAGGAAUGGAAAGAGUGGAUAAUAAAAUGCCUGACUGUUCUCCAAAAAUAAGGACCUUCAAAUAGGAGUGAUUGAAAUAAAUGACUACUUGCAUGUUAUGCUUUCAUUUGGGUGGAAUACUUCAUCAGAAUAAACUAUUGAUCUUGUGCUGUGUCAAAGUAACAGACUAGAACCUUCUUUCAAGUACCUGAAUUGAAAUGAAACUCAUUUUGAAUAAUAAAAACUCUAGAAACUCU
ensembl:lncRNA AMZ2P1 AMZ2 pseudogene 1